UGAAAACUUUUUGAUUAAAAUCAAAGUGAUUUUAAAAGUUUUUUUCAAACUACCGGAAGAUGUUUCAAGUUCAUGUCGUAUAUGGCAAAGGUUGUUGCCCAGUCUAGCUACAAAUUUAUAUAUAUCAUUUUGUAGAUAAAAUUGAAAUGUAUCGAUGAUAUAUUUGUAUUACGUAUUAAAAGUUACGAUAGAAAUUUUAAAAUAAGCAACUUGAAUUAGUUGGAAUAUUAAAAAUCUAUACUAAAAUAAUAUUAAAAAAUGAAUGUAAAUUGUAUAUAUUAAAACUUUAAAAUUAAAGUAGUAGUAGUAUAUUGUUUAUUGCAGUUGUAGAUUUUAUGGAUAUCAAUAUCAUAACAUAAAAUUCUGAAAAUGCCACCAUUGCCCUAAUACAUCGGCUCCCACAGUCUCACUCUUCUUCAUCGCUGCCUUGAAUCUGUCCGGCCUCCCCCAUACGCCGUCAACUAUCUCGUCUAGCACCGCCGCGGCCCUCCUCCGCAUCUGAACGGUAAGAAAGAUCCCUUUGAACUUCGAUUUUGUUGUGUUGUCAAUUUCUGCAUCCGAACAGUGAGAAACAUCAAGUUGUUGUUUCGAUUUUAUGCCUAUCACUUUGAACUUCAAUUUUCUUUGUUAUGAACUUAAAUUUUCUGCUUAUGACUCUAUUAACAUCGAUUUUCCCUAAAUUCGAAAUUAAAACUCUUGUAUAUAUCUGAAACGUUCUUUGUUGUGUUUAUGCUAUGAAAUCUUAUGUUGUUUCCGAAAUGUGUUGAAUCUUUUAUAGCUUCUGAAAUGCUAAUGGUAUUAUGUUGUUGAAUCUUUUACUGAAAGGUUUCAUAUCAUCAAGUUUAGGGAACUGUGAAGCUAACUGUCGAUCAAAAUAUAGAAACUUUAUUUUCAAUUAAACUAUAAAUAUGAUAGAGAUAAUUGAGCGCAAGAAUUUUUUAAACUUCAUUCUUGUUCUGUAUUUCUUUUUUCCUUUUUUCCCCUUUCGUUUUUUGAUUCUUUGCAAGCUGCCGCAUAAUGUUUGCUUUCUACAUUUGAUGGUGGUGGGGGUUAAGGGAGGUGCAGUACUGCAGUAGGUAUCAGUUGAGAGCUGGGGGAGAUCUCGUGGAGUUUUCCAACAUAGACGGGCUAGAGAAAGAAAGAGAUGAAGCAUGAUCUGUUGUGUUUUGUUUCCAGAAAUCUUAUGGAAACAAGAUGCACAUCGAUUUCUGUUCAAGAACACACAUAUGUGUGCAAUCUGUAAAUAGGACGGUGGUGGUGAAUUGGUGAUGGAGCCUUGAUGUCUCAAUGAAUAGUUGUGAGUUUGAAUGUAAAAGAUGAUCACACUGGGUAGGGUUAUUUAGAAUUUUAGAAUUACUAAAUGUAUAAUAAAUAUUUAAAAUUAUAAAUUAAAUUAUAAAGUUGCACGUCUAGGUAAAAAAGUCGUUGAGUUCUUAUUUUCAAAAAUUAACUCGUACCGUUCCUCGUUUGAUUAAAAGUUGCAUGCUUCAUCAUUUUUUCAGAUAUAUAUAUUACCUUUACUAUUUUAUUUUUAGUUACUUAUAAAUUAUUUUGUAUUUAUUAAAAAAGGAAAAAAUAUAUAAUAAAUUCCAACCCCACCCAAUUCCCAUCUAAUUCUAUACCCCACUUUUCACUUUCUUCUCAAGACCUAUUAGUAGAAAAUCCUAAAUCAUGGUGUAGAUUUUGUCGGAAAAGAGAUUGGUCAGAAUCGCGAAAUAGAUUGGUCAGAGAAGAAGAGGACGACAAUAGUUUGGUCGAAGAAGAAGAGGGAAGGGGACCACGGAGGUCUGGUUAGGGAAGAAGAAGAAGGAGAGGAACGGGGAAGGGGGCGUCUAAAACACUGAUACCGACCCCAACUGUCAACUCCGACAAAGACCACACGCCACCGUCACCUCCCAAAUCGUCACUUUGAUCCACCUUCAUUUGUUUCCCUUUUUUACUAUCUAAACUUCUCGGGUGAUCUAGCUUUGCAAACGAUUUCAAGGAUUUGUUCACACGAGUUUGGGGAGAAGAUAACCGGAGUUGCUGGUUUCAUGGUAGUGGUAGGACAAUGGGUGGAAGGGUUUGUGUCCGACCAUAAUCUUCCACUAAUCCUCUCAUCUCUUUUAUUUGUUUGAUCUGUUUGUUAUUUGUAGAUCUAGGGUAUGGAUUCGGUAAAUAAACACGUAUAUGCAGAUCUCUUUCAGAUGUAGUGUUGGCAGGAGGUGUCUGGUGGUUCGUGGUCGGAAGUGGGCAAGUGGCUGGUGUCGAAGGAACUUAAGAGGAAAUUUUAUUUUCUAAAAAAUAUUAAUUAACAAAAAAUAAUUGAUAAAUUAUAAACAACCGAAAAAUGAAUGAAAAAGAAAAGAAAAAGAAUAAGAAAAGGGCAAGAUAGUUAUUUUAUGCUGUGAGGGAUGUAACAUACAACUUUUAAUGAAAUAAGACACGAUCCGAGUUGAUUUUUGAAAAUAAUGACCGAAAAAAAUUCAAAUCCACCACUUUUCAAGUUUUGCAACUUGCCCAAAACAAAAUGACAAAUUAAAUUUUGUAGCUUUAAUCGACACUUUAAUACAUCAAAAGAAAAAACAUCAUAAAUGGUCCCUGUGGUUACCCAAAAUUUGAAGUUUAGUCCCCGUUGUUUAAAAACCUCAUAGAUGGUCCCUGUGCUUUCAAAACUUUUGAUGAUUGGUCCUUAUUGCUAACUUCGUUAAGUUUUGUUCGUUAACUGAAGGACAUUUAUGUCAUUUCACUACCACAAGGACCAUUUAUGAUGUUUUGUCUUAUUUAAAAAAAAUAUAUAUGUAAAGUCUCUCUCUCUCUCUCUCUCUCUCUCUCUCCCUCUCUCUCAACCCAUUGAGAUGAAGAUCUUGGGACGAACCCUAUGAAGAUAUGGGUUCAGAUUCGUCAUACAAACAUAUCUCUUUGUAACACCCCAAUAACACAAAAUCAAAAACCAAUAAAGCCGAGAAUGCAGAUUUUUGGGUUUGUUUUUCAACAUACACACUCAAGAACACAAAAUUUGAAUCACAUAUUUGCUUUUGUGGGGUUUCGCUUCACACACACACAUGAUUCUGAAUCUUAAAACCGAUUACAUGGAGUUAUGAUUACUUGAAUGUGAUCUUAAUUUCUCAACAGUUGAAGGUAUUUUGUUUCGUCUUUCUCGAAACCCAACGAGAUUUUCAAGAAGCUAUUGUUUGAGGUUUGAACAUGAAUGAAGAACAAGAAUUAGAACCAUUAUCAAAGAAGGUUUCUAGAGACUUCUCAGCCUUGAACCUCACAAUCAAGAUAUCGACUUCAAUACAUAACCCUAGAAAAGAACUAUCGACCGACGACAUUGAUCAUCUUCAUAUAACUCUUUAUCUUCUUCAGCCUUUGUUUCAGCCCUACAGUCUCCUAACAUAUCUCCCAGAUCCACCGGAUAUGAUCCAUAUCAUCAUCUAGAAACCAAAAUAAUCACUAAUCCAUCCACCGUUACUACAUUUACUCAAACUUCUACUCAAGAAUCCCAUUGUGGGUCUCACUCCGAUGACAUGCCCAGCACUUCCUACGACUUUUCCGAUUCCACAAAGCUCAAAAUUGUCGACUAUGUCCCUGUAGCAUGUCCUGACAAUAAUACUAAUAAUGCAACACUAUCUCAUAUCUCAUUCUCAUUUCCAGUUACACGUAUUCCUUUCACAAAAGGGUCUUCUAGUGCCAAAUUGAGGAGACGAACACAAACAGACGUGCAAACUUUCGUUGCUUUGGUUUGUGAGUCGGACAACAACCACAUUGACAUCUGUAGCUCCAGCGGUCAUGGUAGCGAUGCCAAUUGUGUUUUUGUUCUGUUCUGUUCUUCAUGGGCGCCGACAGGCGAGAUUCCUUCAAGGGUUUUCUGAAGCUCCAUCUGUUCUUGUCUUUGCACUCACCUAAAUGGAAAUUUUGAGAGAGAGAGAGAGAGAGAGAGAGAGAGAGAGAGACAACAAGAGAUUUCUAAAUUGAUUCAACUAUAAGAUCAUUUAACUCAUUUAUCCCAUAAUAAAAAUCCUACAUCGAAUUUGGACUCCAUCUCCAGAACCCCUACAACCCCCGAUUUGACUGAACCAAACCCAAUUGUGGGUUCAUAUGCCAAAUCAAUAUAUCAACAAAUUUUGCCUUAUAAAUUCAAUUUAGUACUGUCAUAUCUAAUUUUUCAUCAGUACAAGAUCGUUGAGGAGUUAUUUUGAUGCUAAAUCCAAAAAAUACUGGUGUAAGUUGGGAUAUUAUCAAAAUGGUCCAGAAUGUCGAUACAGACACACAAAGAUACCACAACCUUCUUCUUCGGUGGAAGAAAUACUCCAAAAGAUCCAACAGCUAACAUACUACAUCAAUUUUCUUAAUUUUAUAUGUGUAUAUAUGUUAAAUAAAAGAAGUUACAGAUCAAGAUGAAGAUUUAGUCGCGCGCGCGCGCGCGAGAGAGAGAGAGAGAGAGAGAGAGGAAAUUGAAUAAUAGGGGUGUGUAUGGGGCGGUUUGGUUCGGUUAUUGGUCAAAACCGAACCAUAACCAUUAUGAUUGGUUAAUGUAUUUUGAUAACCAUUGGGUAUGGGUAAUAUUGGUUAUGGUUAAUGGUUUUUGUCGAUUAACGGUUUUGGUUAAUGGUUAUUAUCGGUUAACCAUAAUAUUCAAAAUAAUAUAAAUGGUGAAAGUAUAGUUGCAUAAAAAAUGAAAAAAGAAUACAAAAAGUCCUCGACACCGAUGUUUGUAACCUAGCUUAUAGUAAUAGAAUAAAAUAUGUACCUUUGAUACUCAAAGUGAGAUAACACAUAGUCACAUUCAAAAUCAAAAACAUUAAAUAAAAAGUAUAAAACAUUAAAAAAAUUGACACUAAUAAUUUCAUAUAUUGAUAAUUGAUAUUAACAUUAAAAUAAAGUCAAACAUCCAUAUACGUUAAUAGCGAUUAAAUCAAAAACUAUAAAAUAAAAUAGCUAAACAUUUAUAUUACGUGUUAUCUGGAAAAAAAAAUCAGUUAUAUACAUUCAAUGUGAUUAAGUUAAAAACAGUAAAUAAAAAGGACAAUUUUUUUUAUAAAAAUUCUUAAAAUAUCACAAAGUGGAGAAGAACCAAAAUUUAACUUACCUAAAAGUUUUGAUUAUAAAUUAAAAAAAUCCUUCAAAUAGAACUAUAAAGUCAAAACAAUCUCUGAUUAGGAUUAACGGUGUAAGAAACCUCCGAUUAGGAUUAUGAGUGUGAAUAUUAAACUAAUUGUGAAUAAUGUUUACAAAUUAUAGAAUUAACCAAUUAGGAAUUACAACAUUAAUCAAUAAUAUCACUCAAUGCAUGAUUGGAAAAUUGUGUGUGUUUGCAUGAUCUGCGUGAUCAUCCUUUGAUGGUUUGAUUGCACGUUCGUCUCUUGAUAAUUAAGAAUUAAUGAAUUAUAUUUUGAAAUUUUAAUGUUUCUUAAAUGAGUUUGAUUAUAUUAUUUUACUAGUUGUAAGACCCGUAUAAUAUACGGGUUAAUUAAAACAAAAUGUUAAGUACGAUUGAUUAAAUAAAAAUUUUAUUUGAAUUUGAAAUUGAAAUAAGUGAAAAUUAUGAGAAAAAAACAUGCAAAUAAUAAAUUAAUUAAAAUUAUGAGUUUAGUGUGUACUAAACAGGUUAAUUAUAAUAAAAUAUUAAACAUAAAGGUUUAAACUGUAAAUUUAUUUGGAAUUAAAUUUGAAAUUUAAAAUUUAAAAUUUAAAAUUUAAAAAUUAAUAGUCAUUAUGGUAGAUUUAAUUUAUGGAAAGUAAAUUAAUGAUAUAUUGAAAAUGAAAAUUAAAAUAAUGACAAGUGGAAAAUAAAUAUAUUUCAAAUUAUGACAAAAUGACAUGUGGCUAAUCUUAUGAGAGAAGGACAUGUGGCAAAGUCAUUUUCAUUUAUUAGAGUAGAUAUAUAAUCCAUAAUUUUUAUGUAUUAAAAUAUAAAGUUAGCGGUUCGGUUAAUAAUGGUUCGGUUAACCUAUAAAACCAUAACCGAACCGUUUUUUAUCGGUUAACAAAAAUUAGAAACCGAACCAACGGUUUUUAAAACGGUUCGGUUAUUAUGGUUUGGUUAUAUUGGUUAAUUUGGUUAUGGUUCGGUUUUUCGGUUAUUAUGCUCACCCCUAUUGAAUAAUAUAUUUCUUUUUUUUUUUAACUAAGAAAAAACAUCAUAAAUGGUCCCUGUGUUAGUGAAAUGACGUAAAUACCCUUCGGUUAACGGACAAAACUUAACAGAGUUAGCAAUAAGGACCAAUUGUCAAGAGUUUUGAAAGCACAGGGACCAUCUAUGAGGUUUUUAAACCGUGGGGACUAAACUUCAAAUUUUGGGUAACCGUAGGGACCAUUUAUGAUGUUUUUUCACAUCAAAAUUUAUAAUUUUUUGAUCUCUAUAUAUAAAUAGACUCUCUGUAUCGUAUAUGGCAAUGUCAAACUGAAAAAUUAAGUUUUUUUUUAAUUGAAAAUCAUUUAAUUUGGUUUUCCAAUGAUUUAGUUUUAGUUUUUUUUUUUUUUGGGUUGAAAAAUCAUUUGAUUUUGGUUCUCAUAUUUAAGUUUCGACGAAAAUUUAAUUUAAACCGUAUUAUAGUAAUACUCCAUGUGUUUGAAUGUACUUUCAAACUAAAUUAUCAAAAUCAAAUUUUAUGGUUUAGUUUUCCGACAUACAUAAACCUAAAUUGAAUGUUUUUUCAACAAAAAAAAUUAAAUCAUAGAAUCCAAAUUCAGAUGAUUUUUCUAGAUAAAAAAUUUUAAUUAAAUCAUAGAAACUGAAACCUAAUGGUUUGUCAACGAACACCGUAAUCUUAUGGGUUUGCAUCGAUAUAUAUUGAUGUAUGUUUGUAAAUAAUGAAAGAGGAGUGAUUCAAAUGAGAACCACAAAAGAUUAAGAACUCUAAGAACUCCCCAUUAGUUAGUAAAUAUUUACAUGAUAUUCUUAUUAAACACGUGAAUUUUUUUUCUCUUUUUGAUACAAAAAAGGCAAAAUUGUAAUUUUGUGGUAUAAUAUUUUCAUUCUUAUAUGCUCUCAUAUUUGAACACAAAACUUAUAUAAAUUACAAGUUUAUACAGUCAAUUUAUAGUUUAAUUCACAAAAUUCACAACUUAAUACAAAUCAUUUUACAAUAAUUCACAAACUCAAAGAAAUCAAAAAUUCAAACUCUACUAAUACCACUACCAUACGCUACCACCAACCACCUGUACCAGCAUCACAACCAUCAUUUUCUUCUAAAUGAGAUCUGUAAAUAAAGUCAUGCAUUAAUAACUUAAAUAGUACAUUCACAGUCUAAUAAAACUAUUUAUUUAACUCAUUUUUAAUUUAAUGCAAAACUAUUAUUAAAACUAAUAUAUUCUUAAAUACUUAUACAACACAAAAAUAAAUAUAUUCAGAAGAAAAUUAACAAAAAAAAUAUACAUACAUCAUUCAUAUUUUAAAUUGUGAAUUUAAUAUAUUAAGUUGUGAAUAAAAUUUACAUUAUUCAAAAGCAACCAAAAAAAUUAUAAAAUAGUCACAGCUUAAUGUCAACUCAUUCACAGCUUAAUACAAUCAAUUCAUAAUUUAAUACAAAAAAUUCACAAUAGUCAAUUCAUAGUAUAAAAAGAAAAUUAACAGUUUAAUACAGUCAGUUCAUAUUUUAAAGCACAAAAAUCACAGUUUAGUACACAAAGUUCAAAGUUUAAUACAAAAAAGUAUUCAUCCACAACCAUAUUUUCAACUUAACACUCUUUAUGUAGUCAAUUCAAAGUUUAUACACAAAAUUCAUAGCUUAAUACAAAUAACUUCAUACUUUCAUACGGAUAAUUCACAGCUUAAUCUAGUCAAUUUACAGUUCAAACAGAAAAUUCACAGCUUUAUGCAGUCAAUUCGUAGUUCAAAAAAAAAAUUCAAAGCUUAAUGUAAUCAAUUCACAGUUUAAAACACAAAAAUCAAAGUUUAGUACACUAAAUUCACAUUUUAAUACACAAAAAGUAGUAUUCACAUCCAUAUUAUCAACUUAAAACACUUGUUACAAUUAAUACACAAUUUAAUAUACAAAAUUCACAGACUAGUAUAAUAAAUUCAAAGUUUAAUUCAAAAAAAUUUAUACAUUCACAGUUUAAUAAGACUUAAAACUAAGAUUAACAAAAUCAUAUGACAAAUGAGAGAUUAAUACAUCAAGUUCACACUUUAACAGGAAAAACAAA
rnacentral:lncRNA from 1 species